rnacentral:rRNA from 1 species
AACUUUCAACAACGGAUCUCUUGGUUCUCGCAUCGAUGAAGAGCGCAGCGAAAUGCGAUACCUAGUGUGAAUUGCAGCCAUCGUGAAUCAUCGAGUUCUUGAACGCACAUUGCGCCCGUCGGUAUUCCGGCGGGCAUGCCUGUCUGAGCGUCGUU